AAUUCCUUCAAAACCAGAUUGAAUCUCUAAUGAAAGUAACCAGUUGGGAGGGAGCGAAACUUUUUCCUUUCCUGAUGCAGAUCCAUACCAGUCAUCUCUGUUUCAGGAGGCAGUCAAACUACCCUGGGCAUGGAGAGCCAGGGGCUGGGUCACAGUGUCUAGAAGUGAUUCACACGGAGAAGCACUGUCAGAGAUUAACAUGAGCCCAUGGGGGGCAUUGAGGCCAUCGCAGAGUGGGUGGUGAACACAGCUGACGUAUAUAAGUGUUUAAAUAAGCUGGUAACUUUAUAAAACAAUGCCCACAUAAUAUGGGCUAGUGGAUAUAAACCAGAGCACCCCUACAGAGAUAAGAUCAGGGCUGCAAUAGGAGUUGUAGGUCAAGAAUAUCCGCAGAGUUGAGUAUCAAGAGGAGGCAAGGGUGCAGCAUCUGCUUUUCAAGGAGUCCUGUGAUUUUGCUUAGAAAGGCAUCAGUAGAGCUCAAGAUUGGACCUGAUAACAUCAGUACAAGAUAGAGGUAUGGAGAGGCUGUGCAACUUGCCCCAGGCCACACAAGAGGUGUGAAGAGCAGCGAGGAACCACUUAAACACUGACUCAUUUUGUCUCCCUGCACCGGAGAUGUUCCCAAUGUCAUGAAAAUAUUUUUUAACCAGCUGCAGCAAAUUGGGCUCAGUUCAGGUAACCUUGGUGACGUUUUUCAAAUCAGGUACAGACACUGGUUGUACCUGCUGAUGGGCCAUAGAAAAUGCAGUAAGCCCUAAUCCCUAUCCACAGAGAUAAUGAGUACUACCAGCAGCAAAUACAGUACCAUAGAAAUAAUCCGAGGAACACUUUUCUUUUACUCUGAAUGUACAGUUAUAAUGUUUCCUAUCAUAAAAAUCACCCCAAAGCAUUUACUCCGGAUCAGAGUUUUUUUACGUUUCCCAUCUGUAGGAAGUACCCUCACUGGAGGGUUGUUUUUACUUUCAGUUCAUAAUAUAAAUGCAUUUUUUGGAAAAUGUAACUACUGGCCUUUCAGAAAAAAAAAAUGAAAAAAAAAUAUUGUGCAACUGUUUAUUAUGUAAAUGAAUGAUCCUGAAGGUAUAGAAAUCUCUUGCAUACUUGGUAGACUGAGUUUUUUAAAGGGACUGUCAAUUUUAGGCCUAUUGAUAAAUAUGGAAUGAUAAAUAUGGAAAGAAGAAAAAAAAGUGUGGAAAGGAAGUGUGGAGAAGAACUGAUAGAACUGCUCAGCCAGCAAAGUCAAGAAACAACUUUUAUGGGGGAAUAAAACAUAGCCUUGUCUUC